AGGUACCGUGAAAUGCUCCAACUUUGCCACCAGGUAAAUCUUUGCCCCAAACAUAAUUUCUAUGAAAAUCUACUAAUUUCACAAAAACUACCAAACUUACGACCACUUUAGUAAUAUUGGUAGAAAAUCGAAUAUGCAUUUGGCAACACAGAAUAUAACGUUCGCUCGUAACUUCACUCAGUUACCAGUCGAAACUUGUCGAACACGGAGUGUAUUUUUGUGGGCAAUUUCUGUGAAUAUUUGGAAGUUAAUUUGUGCAUUAUGGCGAAUACACCGAAAAACACACAUAAAUCACGCAUUAGACAAAGAAAGUCAAGACGAGAACUGGGAUCACGAAUGUACAAAAAUUAUUCUUACGAAAUGUUGAUGCUUGCGUGUGAAGCUGUUCAGUCAGGUCAAAUUUCAUCAAGAGAUGCUGAAAGACAAUUUGGAAUCCCAAGGCGUACUAUAGUUAAUAAAAUAAAACAAGUACAUUUGAAACCCGUUGGUCGCCCUACUGCUUUAACAACCAAAGAAGAAGAUCAAAUAGUUAAGGUUUUACAAGCUUCUAGCACCUUUGGCUCCCCGCUAACAAAAUUAGAUCUGAAGCUAUUGAUUCAUGAAUAUGUGAAGAAAAACUCAAGGGAUCAUAUUUUUAAGAAUAAAAUUCCUGGUGAUGCAUGGGUACAGAGCUUUUUGGUAAGACAUGCUAAUGAAUUGACUUUGAGAACUACCCAAAAUAUUUCAAAGGCGAGAGCUGAAAAGGGAUCUCAAGAAAUACUUAAUUAUUUCAAGAAUUUAAGUACAACAUUGAAAGAUGUACCAGCUGAAAACAUUGUCAAUUUCGACGAAACUAACCUUUCCGACGACCCAGGCUCUUCUAAGAGCAUUUUUAGAAGAGGGGUGAAAUACCCUGAAAGAAUAGUGAAUUCCACUAAAGGAAACAUAUCUCUGAUGUUUACAGCUACCGCUGCUGGUAGGUGCCUCCCUUUAUAUGUGGUUUAUAAAGCAACAAAUUUAUACUCUGAAUGGAUUAAUGGAGGACCGCCAGAAACCAGAUAUAAUUGUACUAAGUCAGGCUGGUUUGACAGCGCCAUGUUUGAGGAUUACUUUGAAACAAUAAUUAUUUCGUGGGCAAAAGAAACUGAGGGGGCAAAAGUUGUCAUUUGCGACAACCUAUCUAGCCAUUUCAGUGUCAAAGUAGUAGAGUUGUGCGCGCAACAUAAUAUUAAGUUUGUAUUCAUCCCUCCGAGGUCAACACAUCUUACACAACCACUAGACGUUGCUUUUUUUGCGCCUUUAAAAAAGUGCUGGCGUAAAAUUUUGUACCAGUACAAGCUCAAAAAUCCGACCCAAACUACGUUAAAUAAAAAACAUUUCCCGAAAUUGCUCAAUGAAUUAAUCGAAGUAAUUAAGAUAAAUGAAAAAAGGAACAUAAUAAGUGGCUUUAGGGCAUCAGGAAUAUUUCCAUUGAAUCCGCAAGAAGUUCUGAAAAAGAUCCCAGAAAUGCAAGAGGAAAUAAUAUCAUAUGGAAUCGAUCAAGUACUAGUGGAUUAUUUAACAGAGACCAGGGCGCAAAAGCCUAUGCAAGUACAGAGGAGUAAAAAAGUCAAUUGUGAGCCAGGCAAAUCGGUAAGCAUUUCUGAUAUAAAUGUUGGUACCUGCAAUAAGAAAGUAAAAAGGCAAUCCGUUAAAGUUUCUAGUGUUCAAAAAACAAACGAUGAAUCUUCCUAUUUAGACGAAAAAACUGGCUUUUAUGUACCAGGAAUUGUUGAUCUUUGUUCAGAAAUUAAUGAUAAUUAUGCUCAAGACUUGGAAAAUACUAUCAGUAUCCCCCAGUGGCAGGAUACAAAUAUUCCUGAAAGUCUUAGCAAACAAUGUAUUGAUGUAAUAAAUUCUUAUUUAAGCCAAUCAUUGCGUAUUGAAAUGACAACAUCGUCCUCUGACCUUUUUAAAGCUUCAAAUGAUACCACAAACACAUGUCCUGCUAAGAAAAGUAAAAUAACAAUUCUUUCGAAUAUUCGCAUAAAAUCUCCAACACCAGCAAAUGAUGUUUGUUUGUUAAAAAAUGCUACCACUAUGGCAGAGAAUAUGCCGUUUGUAGCUGCGUUUAAAACAGACUUGCCGAUAUGCCUACAAGACGGGAAGAAAAAUAAAUUAAAGAAAAAAAUAGAGAAGAUAAAAGAUAGAAACAAUAAGAAAAGUAAUAGUAACCAUGCAGUAAGAAAAAAUCGAAAGGGGAUAAAUUCAGUCCGAAGAUGUUCUUCAAUAAAAAGAAAACAUAAACAAUAUUCUGAUACUGAGUCAAGUUCUACAUCGAAAGAAUUUUUAACAGUUGAUACCGAUGAAGAAUACGAGACAAUAAAUGAUUUUUACAUAGCUGAAUUCCUCCAACAAGAGGAUAAAGAAAAUUUUGAGCCCCCACAAACGACUUCCUUUGGAUUACAUGACAUUGAAUAUUUUUCUGAAAAUCAAGAAAAAAUUAAAGAAAAUGAUUGGAUUAUUGCUAAGUUUGCUACAAAAAAGAGUUUGAAACAUUUUGUAGGUAAGGUUUUAUCGAUUAAUGGUGUAAAUCCUGUGGUAAAGUUUUUACGCAAGGUUAAAGAAUCUAAAUGUGAUACAGGAACGACUUUUUCUUAUCCAACAGUUGACGACAUUUGCACCAUUGAACAUUUAGAAGAUAUUGUAACAGUUUUACCCGAGCCAACAAUUACUCGACGCGGUCAGAUUAUAUUUCAUGUAGAUUUCAGUAAUUUUAACAUUCAAUGAAAAUUUACUUGCCGAACUUUUCUGAAUUAUUGUUUCUUAGAAUUCCAUUUUUCGAAAAUAAUUUCAUAAGUUGGUAAAAAUGUUAAUUAUAAUCCCGUAAACUUUAAUUGCAACUGAGUGAAAUACUGUUUUGAAAUAUUGUUUUGUUGAUUGUUUGACAGUUUCCAAUCUUAUUCAAUCAUAUAUAUAGAUAAAUAAAUAAUACAUAGAUUAUAAUGAUUGAUACUAGUAGGUAAAAUGAUAAUAAAUAUACCGUGAAAUUUUAAUGGUUGUUUUCCCGCAGCGAAAAAAUACAAAGCAAGUAGUCCAGUUGAUUAAUUUUUUUAUUAAUAUGACAAGAAGUUUGUUCUACGAAGUCGAAGAUUAUUUUGUCUUUAUAGUGCGAUUUGUUGGCCACUGUAAGAUAACUGUAUUUUUUUAAACUAAUAAAAUCUAUACAUGUGUAAUGAAUAAACUAUAUCUACACAAACAUAAUAAUAUAUAGAAAACAACUAUUAAAACACGGUAUGCAACUCAGUGCAUUGAUUAGUUGCUAAAAAAAUAAGUUAAAUUACUGAAGUGAUUUGUUAAAGACUGUGUUCUCCAAAGAAUAUUUUAGUAUGUAGAUUGAAAAAGUGAGAAUUUAUACCAUUCCUCGCGUUAUAUUCGGGGAAAGAUAAUUAUCUAGUUGAAACAUUAUUAGGUUUACAUUUUAUAAUUAAUAAUAAAAAUGUUAAUAGGAGUGUUGACAAUUUUUUUAAAGUAUAAUUUUGAUGUUUAUGUAAAGAAGCGUUAAAAACAAUUUUAAGAAUUCUAGAAAAAUUAAAUAAAAUCUUCUCAUAAUGCCAGAGAUAUUAGCGUCCAAAAUUCGAGGAGAUAUCGCUAUCCUCUUCUCGCUCGAAGUUUGACGGUAUUGACGCCACGGCAAAAUAAUGCCUUCAUUUUUCAUUAUUUUUUUACAUUUGAUAUUUUUUAUUUGGUUCAUUUCCGUGCGAUCUAUUUCAUGAAAAGUGUAACUAUCUGCAAUAGGUAGAUAUACUUUUUGUGAAAUAGAUUUCUUGAUAGAGACUUUGAGCUUGUGAGGUUAAAGACUAAUUAUUUUUAUGUUUUUUUUUUUAGUUACUUACGAAUAGGUAUUUAAUUUUGUUUUGUUUAGUUAUCAGAUUUCUUUAGUUGAUUUAAAAAUCUCAAACACAAUUACGAGUACUUACGAUUGAUUUGACUUAAUAAACCACUUUGUACCUAAAA